rnacentral:rRNA from 1 species
UGGGGAAUAUUGGACAAUGGGGGCAACCCUGAUCCAGCGAUGCCGCGUGUGUGACGAAGGCCUUAGGGUUGUAAAACUCUUUCGUCGGGGACGAUAAUGACGGUACCCGAAGAAGAAGCUCCGGCUAACUUCGUGCCAGCAGCCGCGGUAAUACGAAGGGAGCUAGCGUUGUUCGGAAUCACUGGGCGUAAAGCGCACGUAGGCGGAUAGUUAAGUCAGGGGUGAAAUCCUGGGGCUCAACCCCAGAACUGCCUUUGAUACUGGCUGUCUCGAGGUCGAGAGAGGUUGGUGGAAUUCCUAGUGUAGAGGUGAAAUUCGUAGAUAUUAGGAAGAACACCAGUGGCGAAGGCGGCCAACUGGCUCGAUACUGACGCUGAGGUGCGAAAGCGUGGGGAGCAAACAGGAUUAGAUACCCCAGUAGUCCCUGAGCGGGCUGGCAAGGCGCAU